UACCCGAUGGUGUAAUGGUAACACAAGGGCUUUUGGUGCCCUUGUUCGAGGUUCGAAUCCUCGUCGGGUAG
rnacentral:tRNA from 1 species